ACUGCAGCAGAGGGGAGAGCGCCGUGGCCGGGAAGGCUGGGAGCGAGUUCCUGGUUCUGUUUGGUGCCGGUGCCACAGUUGGUGAUGUUUGUUUGCUUUAUUACACACUCUGGUAAGGAACUGCUAGUCCUAUUGUCAUACAUUUGCCUGAGAACCCCUUAAUUUCAAAAUUACUAUAAUUCGGAGGGAAGGAGUUUACAUUUUCCAUUCCAAGGGGGCUCCUGCCUUCCUUAGCAGACACCUGUCUUUCAAACUAAGACAAAUGGAGUGCAAUAUUCACAGCACAUCAGCAGUGAAGGGUCUCUCUGAUCGGUUUCUUAACUAUGAUGUGAGCUGUCUCAAAUAUAGGAAUAGAGAAAGAUAAAUCUGUAAGGAUAUUACAAUCUGAGAACCUGUUGCUUUACCUUAAUGCAUGCUGCAAGGCUUUCUGCUCAUACAGGUCAAGAGGUAGGUGCAAAGAAAUCUGCCUGAAGUUGAACUUUCUAGAGGCCUUUGACAAUUUAUUUGCCCUACAGAUUAUGCACUAUUUGUUUUCCAGCCCCCAAACAGGUCCUAAAGACUGGCUCCAAAGUUUCAGUGCAAAGUUUUGCAUUAUUUUGUAAAGGCAACUCAAACCAAUUUGGGUUAGAUAAAAAGAAAAGCAAUGAAAGUCAAUCACAGUAUUGAUGCUUUAAUUCUGUUUGCACAAGCUGAAGGGUAGGGUUCUCAGCCCCUUUGAUUUUAGGCUAUAGUGUUGAGGAAAUUUCAGCUUGCUGAGCCUUCACAGUUUCACACCUUCCAGGAUUAACAAAGAAACCACAAACAUGGUUUCACUGAAACUGAAAAUCUCUCUUUUUAAAUUUUUUUUCUCUACCCCCUGCCUGAACAGAAAAAAGAGAUGGUAUUAUAAUUACUCUAAUUUUUUUCUUUAUUCCAAACACCCCUGUCCCCUGCUCCCAUUUGUAACAUUUCUCACAAGAGAAAAAACUGUUGAAAAAGAUUGUACUGAAAAAGCAGCUCCUUGCAAAGCACAGUUAAAGCAUGGGAAGCUUAUUCCAGCAAAGGUUUAUCUGCACUCUUGGUAACAUAAAAGGGAAGAAUUCAAGAGCAGGGGGUAAGUAUUACAAGAACCAAGCUGUCAAAACUGGCUUUCUCCUGUGGGUGAACAUGAGUACAUGGAGUUUAAAAUCCUAAAAUCCAGUUGUUUUUUUUUUUAAUAAAAAACUGAACUUUGGAUAGUUGAGUUUAGGCACUUUCUAACUGCACCGCUGUACUGCUGAUACGAGCAUUUGACAAAUGGCAAAGCAUGCAGCUCUCAAGGUUAUACAAAUAGUGAAUCUGAGUUUUUGUAUUCAUCGUCAUCCUUAUACUUUCUCCUGGAAAGUCUGAUUUAUGGGUCUGAUCUGGCACAGAUCUGGAAAUAUUUGUAAUGAUAGUGUUAGAAAUGGUGUGAAUAUUUAUGGGGAUACUAUGGGUCUGUUCCUCCUCACCACUGAAACUAGCAGCAAAAUUCCUAUAAACUUGUUUUGAAGCAGAAUAGGGUCCUGCUGAAGAGAAUAGGGACUGGUGGUUCUCCUACAAGAAGAAAGAUAAUUUUAUGUUCUCAAACAUGAUCAACAUAUCUGAAUUCCAGUACCUGAUUACUCACACAUUUACCCUAUUCAAAAUGCAAAGUAAACCAACCCAGCUUCAGAUUUCUGCCAUUGCAGUUGGGUUAAAUUGCUCUUCUGGGUCUGCAAGCAUCCAUCCGUCAGCUGCCAAAUCUCUGGGAAGGAGUGUGCUUGGCAUUGCAAAGAAACUGACUGGCUGCAGAAGAACCCUUUAUAUGCAGACUAGUUAUCACUGGUUGACUGAGAAAAAUCUGAGAACAAGCAAAGAUACUGGUGAUUCACCCUAGAAGGAAUACAGAAGGUUUUUCUACCCUUACACAAGAUCAGCUAAACACUGGUAUUUUCUUCACCAGGCUAGACAGCUCUGCCUUGCCUAAGCAGUAAUUUUCUUCCACUUCUGAUCAUUCCUGACCCUCUUGGACUCUUCUCCGUUGUGCCCAUGGAUUUCUUGGAGAUUAAUGCCCGGCAUGGGUCUGACCAAACAGCAUUCCACAUGCCUAACAAACAGCAUUCCAGAAUAUAUACCGAGCUUUUAAUGUUUGUGUGUCUGUCUCUCUAUCUAUCUAUCUAUCUGUCUAUCUAUCUAUCUAUCUAUCUAUCUGUCUAAUCACCCCACACAUAUAUAUACACAUACACACAUAUAUACACUCACAAUGCUUUUUCCACCAUAGAUGAGACUGAGAUGAGACUGCUGAGUAAUGUUCACAGUAUUAUCCACUAUCACUCUUUCUUCAGAACUGCUAUACAGCUGUUAGUAAGUACUAGGUGCUUGCAUUGAAGAUGCCAUGCGAAAAAGGCCAGUAAGAUGCCAGUAUCAUUUUAAAAUCAUUUUUUCACUUCAGUGGCACAUGGAUGAGCCUGGUAAAACCACUCUCCAAUCCAUACAGAUAGUAUCAGUAUAUAACCACCUUAUCACCUUUCCACCAGUCAUCUUUGACUUCCCAGAGUCGUGUCAUUACUGUUAUUUACUUCAAUGUAAAUUUGAUUUAUUUUACCAAUGAACAUGUGUUUUCAAACUAACAGAGACCAAAGACUAUUUUGUUUUCUUAUAUGUCUAAGCCAGGCCGGUGGCUUGCCCUAAAUGUCACAGACCAAAAUGUCAGAAACUGUAGCUGUAGAUACUUAGACCACCAAAAUACCUUUUUUUUUUUUUUUCCCUCAGAUCUGUGUUUCAGGGCUGCUUUCGAAGGCAGAGAUACAGAGGCCAAAUCCAGAGGGGAAUUUACUCCUGAAGUGCUCUGAGGUUUGCAGCAGAGUUGUAAAAUUCAACUCCCACCAGCUUUCUCCAGUUCAGCUGGAUUUUCCAUCUGCUCCUGCUCAGAAGUGGAAUAAUCUUUGAACACCUCUUGCUUUCAGAAUUAUGAAUUAUUAUAUUAAAAUCCAAGGAAAGAAAAAAGUAAAGAGUUUCCUGUGUUGUAAGCUUUAUUGAUCCUGGAACAAGUCCUCUGGAACACUCUGGAACACUGUGAAUUACAAACAAAGUCACAGAGGAGGUCUGUGACACAUUAGUCUCACCAAAAUCUUGCAUCAGCAUCAUAAGCAAUGUCACACAUGAUAAGGAAAAGAAUACUAAUAAACCACUUCAAUUCUGUUAUUUUUCCUCAAGAAACCAGGAAGUUGGCAAUCUCAUAAUCUAAAGCUGAAGCAUGAAAAGUGUGAACAGGUCUCUGUUUCACAGGGCAAGAGACCAGGGUAAUAUUUCCAAAUUUUAAGGACACUAGUAAAACAAGAGAGAAUGGAGUGUGUGGGGAGGAGCAAGGAAAUUCCAGAAGAGUAGACAGCUUGCUGGGGAUAUGGAGUGCCUACAACACCAGUGGUUGUGCUUGGGCCUCUUGGAACUCACAGUUGUGAGCUGCAGAGAGACAUCACUCCAGGACAGUUGUCUUCAUCCUGCCUGGACGUGUUAAUCCAGUAAGUGGUGGCUGUAUGAUGGGGAGUGUUGUCCAGGCCCUUGACACCCACUCAGUGUGGCUGGUGGAGGGAGGUGCCCAAUACAUUGUCACUCAUGACUUGCAAUGGUGA